UACGGAGGGUGCAAGCGUUAUCCGGAUUUACUGGGUUUAAAGGGUGCGCAGGCGGAUAUGUAAGUCAGUGGUGAAAUCUCCGGGCUUAACCCGGAAACUGCCGUUGAUACUAUAUAUCUUGAAUGCUGUGGAGGUAAGCAGAAUAUGUCAUGUAGCGGUGAAAUGCUUAGAGAUGACAUAGAAUACCUAUUGCGAAGGCAGCUUACUACACAAAUAUUGACACUGAGGCACGAAAGCGUGGGGAUCAAACAGG
rnacentral:rRNA from 1 species